AGCAGUGUUCCCGCGAGCGUCUACGCGAGUGCACGGAUGGAUGUGUUUUCGUCGUGAUUUAACGACUCUGUCGGGCCUCAGCGAUGUCGAAAAAUAACUGCUGCGUUGUCGGCUGCUCAAACACACACAAAAAAUCGCAGGAACGCACUUCUACAGGUUUCCGGUGCUAUUUCAUGAGCGAGAGCGACGGCGGCGGUGGAUUGCGGCUGUACGACGUAGAAAAGUUUGCAUUGAAGCCAUAGACAGCACGAAGACCGCUUCACUCGCUGCAGCGGACGUGUCUCCUUACGCCAGCGCUUUAUUUGAGUUACGCCAGCAAGGUGCUACUAUGCUGAAGACAGGUGCUACAUAUCCAGAAGGGCGCACGACUGGCUUUGUCGCUGAAGCAUGCAUGAAAUUUCAAUGGAGAGUGCAAUAAUAAGAAAAUGAAGUAAGCGUUCUGUUUUCUGUCUCCUCUGUUUUUAUUGUGCGCUCUAUCGAAACCGAACUCAUGAUUCAAAUCACUUUCCUUGCUACAAUAUCUGCUACAAAUCGCUCUUGACGAUCCCCAUUGUAUUUGCGGAAAAAAUAGGUACAGUACACCACUGCCGAACAAACAUUC